AUUGAACGCUGGCGGCAUGCCUUACACAUGCAAGUCGAACGGCAGCACGGAGCUUGCUCUGGUGGCGAGUGGCAAACGGGUGAGUAAUAUAUCGGAACGUACCCUGGAGUGGGGGAUAACGUAGCGAAAGUUACGCUAAUACCGCAUACGAUCUAAGGAUGAAAGUGGGGGAUCGCAAGACCUCAUGCUCGUGGAGCGGCCGAUAUCUGAUUAGCUAGUUGGUAGGGUAAAAGCCUACCAAGGCAUCGAUCAGUAGCUGGCCUGAGAGGACGACCAGCCACACUGGAACUGAGACACGGUCCAGACUCCUACGGGAGGCAGCAGUGGGGAAUUUUGGACAAUGGGCGAAAGCCUGAUCCAGCAAUGCCGCGUGAGUGAAGAAGGCCUUCGGGUUGUAAGCUCUUUUGUCAGGGAAGAAACGGUGAAGGCUGAUAUCCUUUGCUAAUGACGGUACCUGAAGAAUAAGCACCGGCUAACUACGUGCCAGCAGCCGCGGUAAUACGUAGGGUGCAAGCGUUAAUCGGAAUUACUGGGCGUAAAGCGUGCGCAGGCGGUUUUGUAAGUCUGAUGUGAAAUCCCCGGGCUCAACCUGGGAAUUGCAUUGGAGACUGCAAGGCUAGAAUCUGGCAGAGGGGGGUAGAAUUCCACGUGUAGCAGUGAAAUGCGUAGAUAUGUGGAGGAACACCGAUGGCGAAGGCAGCCCCCUGGGUCAAGAUUGACGCUCAUGCACGAAAGCGUGGGGAGCAAACAGGAUUAGAUACCCUGGUAGCCCACGCCCUAAACGAUGUCUACUAGUUGUCGGGUCUUAAUUGACUUGGUAACGCAGCUAACGCGUGAAGUAGGCCGCCUGGGGAGUACGGUCGCAAGAUUAAAACUCAAAGGAAUUGACGGGGACCCGCACAAGCGGUGGAUGAUGUGGAUUAAUUCGAUGCAACGCGAAAAACCUUACCUACCCUUGACAUGGCUGGAAUCCUCGAGAGAUUGGGGAGUGCUCGAAAGAGAACCAGUACACAGGUGCUGCAUGGCUGUCGUCAGCUCGUGUCGUGAGAUGUUGGGUUAAGUCCCGCAACGAGCGCAACCCUUGUCAUUAGUUGCUACGAAAGGGCACUCUAAUGAGACUGCCGGUGACAAACCGGAGGAAGGUGGGGAUGACGUCAAGUCCUCAUGGCCCUUAUGGGUAGGGCUUCACACGUCAUACAAUGGUACAUACAGAGCGCCGCCAACCCGCGAGGGGGAGCUAAUCGCAGAAAGUGUAUCGUAGUCCGGAUUGUAGUCUGCAACUCGACUGCAUGAAGUUGGAAUCGCUAGUAAUCGCGGAUCAGCAUGUCGCGGUGAAUACGUUCCCGGGUCU
rnacentral:rRNA from 1 species